CAGUAGCCGCGGUAAUACAGAGGGUGCGAGCGUUAAUCGGAUUUACUGGGCGUAAAGCGUGCGUAGGCGGCUUCUUAAGUCGGAUGUGAAAUCCCUGAGCUUAACUUAGGAAUUGCAUUCGAUACUGGGAAGCUAGAGUAUGGGAGAGGAUGGUAGAAUUCCAGGUGUAGCGGUGAAAUGCGUAGAGAUAUGGAGGAAUACCGAUGGCGAAGGCAGCCAUCUGGCCUAAUACUGACGCUGAGGUACGAAAGCAUGGGGAGCAAACAGGAUUAGAUACCCGCGUAGUCCCUGUCUCUUAUAC
rnacentral:rRNA from 1 species